rnacentral:lncRNA from 1 species
GUUGAGAGUUGUCCCAUAUUGGUGAGGGACAAUGUUUGCUAUGUGCUUAUAUGGUCUUGGGUUACUCCUCAUAUUGCCAAUUGGUUUUAUGGUGGAACCUCAAUUUCAUCAUGGUAUCAGAGCGGGUUAUCCUCGUGUGAAGCCAAACGGCCACACGAGCUCUACGUCACCCAAUUGUUGUCCACGUGUAGGCUUAAAAAUCCGCCACACGUACGGAAAAUCCGCCACACGUACGGGGGCGUGUUGAGAGUUGUCCCACAUUGGUGAGGGACAAGGUUUGCUAUGUGCAUAUAUGGUUUUGGGCUACUCCUCAUAUUACCAAUUGGUUUUAUGGUGGAACCUCAAUUUCAUCAGACGUCUCAACACAAUUCUCGGCGUCAUGGUUCUAUUCACAUACCAUUUUUAACCUUCCACACAAACUUUGCUAAUUUUUUAUUUUUCCAAUACUUUAAUUCAUUCAAUUCGAUGGCUGAAAAUGGAAGAGUGUGAAAGAUAAAAAAAAAUCAAUAUAAUUACACUAACACCUCUUAAGGUCUAUCAUAUUUUAACAAAACCCCUCACAUUUAAAACAUUACACUAACACCCCCUGAUGUUCUAGUUCACUUACAUAACCCCUCAAUGACACGUUUACCUUUAAGGUGAUGUCAGCUCUACAGGUGUUGUAUAAAAGUGAAUCAGAACCUCAGAGAGUUACUGUAAUGUUUUAAACGUGAGAGAAUUUUGUUAAAAACCAAUAAAUCUAGAGGGUGUUAGUGUAAUUAUGCAGCACCACCCUAACAAUAAUAAACUACCUUAACCGAUCAGAGAGUCCCUUAGACCUCUGUUUGGAACAGAAAGUGCAAUCCCAGAAAACAAGAAUCGUACAUAA